rnacentral:lncRNA from 1 species
UGAUUUGCCACGUGGUGACCCCCGUAAAUGACUUAAUGGCCCGUGUCUUGAUUUCCUCGCCUGUCACUUAGGAUGCUAACAGUCCUGUCCCAACAGCUGUGUGAGAGCAGUCACGGAGUUGGCGAGUGCGUUAACAGCAUGGCCCUGAAGACUCACUCCGCUGCCCCAGUGGCUGGGCCAGGGGAGACCCAGGUCACGUCCUAGGAGCUUCUGCCCUGAUGCCAGCAGGUGCACAUGGCAGAGCCCCCACCACCAACCUGUGCCCUCAGGAAAACUUCAGACUUGGCUGCCUGGCCCAGAGGCCCGUCCACUGUGGCCGCCUCAGAUGGAAGGUGGAAGGAGCAUCCACUUACAGUCACUGGGAGGGCGCGGGGACUGAAGGAGGUCCCCGCAAGUGUUCAUGGAACAUGAGGGGCUGGAGCUGGGGGACCCUGCCAGGCUGCCGCUCCUGCAGCCUCCUGGUGACAAAUGGUUGGCAGAAGCCGGAACCAAGAGGAAGCCUGCAGGGGAGGGGAGACAGGCAUGUGGUUCACAGGGAUCCAGGAGGCCACAUGGGCAGGGUGCUGGGACAACAUCGAGGCCCCCCCAACACCCUGGGGGGAGCUGAGGGAAGGCCAGACCUACUGUGUGCGGGGCUCGUGCUGAGCGUCCGCAUGCGUUAUUCCUUAGGGUGACCCUGUGAGACCCGAGUCUCAGGCGAAGUGACCCAACAGAGCCAGGCAGGACUGAAGCCCCCGUCUGUACACCCAGCCAGCUCUGAGCAGCCACCUGUCCAGGCUGUGCCUGCAACAGGGACAAAGAGAGGCUAAGCUAGGCUGAGCCAGGAAGGAACUGAGGGCCUCUGGGGAGGGUCUCCGUGUUCAUCAGGCGGCGCCCGAGAGCAGGAAGCGCUGGGCUUGACGGCCUACGGGGAAUGGCAGGGCCUCCCCUUUUUUCAACUGGGGGCACCCAGGUUGGUCAAGGGAAAGGAUGCCAGGGGCCUGGGUUCAGUGGGGGCCCAGUCUGCAUGUUGGUGACUCUGUGGGCAUCCAUGGGUCUGGGGACCACUGCCAGGGACCCAGCAGGGCUGGUGUGUUUCUUGGGUCCUGGGUUGAAGGCUGGCCUCCUGGGGUUCUCUGACAGCUGAUGUAGGGAGGACCCCCAGCCCCUGGUCCCCAGAUGCAGGCUUUAAACUCAGAGACUCUCUCUCCCAGCUCCCCAGGCCAAACUAGGGCUCCCACCCCCGUAAGGAUGGCUGUGUGACGUUUGGGCCCCGCCAGCCCAAGAGUCGGAUUCCCAAACCUGGGGGUGUUCAGGAGAAGCCAGGACCUCAGCACUGGAAAGAAGAGAGGUGGAAGUCAGGGGGCCCUGGGUUCAGAUCCCACUUCUGUCACUUGCUGGUCCCCUGACUUGUGUCAAACAAUGGCUCAGGUCCCCUCUGGUGGAGUGGGGACGGGCCAUGCUCUGAGUGGGGGGUCUCGAGAAUGUUCUGUGCCAGGUGUGGUGCUGACAGCCUUAGUGAGUCGCCUCUACUCCUCACAACCACCCUCUGAAGUGCUGCUGUUUCUGUUUUAUAGAAGAGGAAACCGAGGCCCAGAGUGGCUCAGUCGAGAAGGGGCAGAGCCUGGCUGUGAAGCACAGCCUGAGAGCGAAUGUGAGGCAGGGCGCCUGAGGGAGCAGGGAUGUCUGGCCAAGGUGGCUGUUAUUAUCAAGGCCUGAGAGAGGAAGGGGCUUACCACAGGGAGGGGCAGGGCCAAGGUUGGGUGAGACCUAAGGACUCGGCUGCUUUCUCCUCCUCCGUGGCCCAAGGCCGCUGUGUGUUAGAAAUUGAGGUGCAACCGAGAUCAGGGAUGGAACUUGUUGAAGGUCACUGAAGGUCAUGGACAGGCUUCCUUCCUCUUCAGAGAGCAGGGAAAAGGGCAGAGAGAGACCCCUGCAUGGUCAGCCAACCCCGAGCACCGUCAGGAGCUCUGGGCUGCCCACCCUGCUGUCCUAGGGCAGAGUCACCAGGACUGGUCUGAGGACCAGGAGAGGGGCCAUCGGUGUGCGCCAGGCUCCUGUCCCUAAGAGCAGGGGGAGGCCUCAGCUGGGCCACGGGGUCCAGUGGUGGUUCCAGCCUUGGCCUCGUGAGUCAGGCCCAGCUGCUGCAUCUGCUGCGUCACCCCCAGGGAGCAGGCUCCAGGCCACGCUUCCCCUGCCCGAGAGGGAUCAGCAGAGAGCACGUCCUGAAUGCUGCUUUAUCGCAGCAAGUUUGCGGAUUCAGCUCAUUACACUUAAUUAGAAUUAUUUAAUUAGAAUCUUAAUAAAAGAGUAAAGCAGGAAGGAGGCUGAGAGCUGGGUGAGGAGAUCCGUGCUGAGCUUGUGAAUAGGGCCCCCUGGGGAGGUGGCAGUGGCGGGGCUCCUGGGACUUACACCUGGAAGGUUGGGCCAGGGAGCCUGGGUGUGGCACAGUACCAGGACCCUGAGGUAAGGGCACUGGGCUUGUGGGGCAGGACGUCUUUCCUGCCCUCAAGGAAUUCAGGGUUUGUGCAGGAAAUGGACUAGAAACUGGAGACUGAUAACCCAGGCUGAGGCCGAGGCACUGGGCCAGCCAGGGAGGGGCUGAGUGGGAGGAAGGCAACCAGGGAGGGACGCAGGCCAGCGUGAGGGAUGGUGACCAGCCUGAGAGGCAUGACCUCAGAC